rnacentral:lncRNA from 1 species
CACAGCAAUGAGGGAUUUGAUGGUUGAAAACUUUACAACAGGAGAAAAGAUCUCAGUGAAGUCUACACCUUCAAUUUGGGUAUCACCCCUAACAACCAGUCUAGCCUUAUGUCUUUCCACAGACCCAUCAGCCCUAAAUUUGAUCUUAUACACCCACUUGCAACCAAUAGGUCUUUUACCAGGGGGAAGGGGAACUAUUGACCAGGUAUGAUUGGCCUCCAAGGCUGCAAAUUCCUUGCACAUAGCCUCCUGCCAGGCAGGAAUAGAGGCAGCUUGCUGAUAGGUGGUAGGUUCUGCUUCUGGACUGCUAACCAAGGUGUGAAGACAGGUGGAAGAAGCACUGGGACCAGAAAGAGAAGGAGGGAGAGUGCAGACAUACUGCUGCAGGUGGGCAGGAAGGACAUGUGCCCUAUUGGAUCUUCUGGGAUCAGAUGAAGAAGGCACUGAAGAAGUAUGUGAUGGAGAGGAAUGUGAGGAAGAGGGAGAGGCAGGUGGGCAGGAAGGACAUGUGCCCUAGUGGAUCUUCUGGGUGCAGAUGAAGAAGGCACUGAAGAAGUAGGUGAUGGAGAGGAAGGUGGGGAAGAGGAGGAGGCAAGAGGUUGAUGAGUGGAAGAAGAGGAAUGAUUAGGAAGAGAUUCAUCAACAGGAGGAACCCAGGCAGAAGGAGGAUUGACAGGAGGAAAAGAGGCAUGGGGAGAAGUCCCUAGGGAGGCAAAAUGGAAUAUAUCCUCAUGAAAAAUGACAUCCCUGGAUAUCAGGGUGAUCUUAGACUUCAAGUUAUACAGCUUGUAACCCCUUUUAGCCAAAGGGUAACCCAGGAAAACACAGGGAUCAACUCUAGGCUGGAAUUUAUCUCUAUUCUGUUUAGGGACAGAGGCAAAACAUGAGCAACCAAAUGUUUUAAGGUGUUUGUAGGAAGGAAUCUGGCCAAACAGCAAUUCAAAAGGGGAUUUGUUGUUGAGUAGAACAUAAGCAACCAAAUGUUUUAAGGUGUUUGUAGGAGGAAUCUGGCCAAACAGCAAUUCAAAAGGGGAUUUGUGUUGAGUAAUUUGGAAGGAAAUCUGUUAAUCAGGUAUGUGGCAGUAAGCACACAGUCACCCCAAAAUCUAAUGGGUAACUGAGAAUGAAAGAGCAGAGCUCUGGAGGUUUUUAGCAGAUAUCUAUGCUUUCUCUCAACAACACCAUUUUGUUGUGGUGUGUGAGAGCAAGAAGUUUGAUGCUGUAUGCCAUGUUCAGCAAAGAAGGUGAUGCCACAGCCACUAGAACCUAGUUCAAAUGCAUUAUCACUCCUAAUGGUUUGUACCACAGAUUGGAAUUGAGUUUUAACCAUGGCAAUGAAGGCUUUAAUGAGAGGAAAGGCAUUGCUCUUGGACCCCAUAAGAUGGGUCCAAGUAACUCUGGUAAAAUCAUCAACUAUUGUCAAAAAAUAUCUACAACCAUUAUGAGUAGAAGUGGCAUAGGGACCCCAUGUAUCAACAUGAAUCAGUUGAAAAGCAUGAGUUGUUUUAAUGGAGCUGUCAGGAAAGGGUAAUCUAGAUUGCCAUGCCAAAAGGCAUAUAGUACAGCGAAAAGGCUGCUUUGUGGAAAAACUACAUGGUAU